rnacentral:rRNA from 1 species
UUCGGCCAUAGUGGCGCACGGGUGAGUAACGCGUGGGAACCUGCCCAGCAGUGGGGGAUAACUUCGGGAAACCGGGGCUAAUACCGCAUACGCCCUUAGGGGGAAAGAUUUAUCGCUGUUGGAGGGGCCCGCGUCCGAUUAGUUUGUUGGUGGGGUAAUGGCCUACCAAGACUACGAUCGGUAGCUGGUCUGAGAGGAUGAUCAGCCACACUGGGACUGAGACACGGCCCAGACUCCUACGGGAGGCAGCAGUGGGGAAUACUGGACAAUGGGCGCAAGCCUGAUCCAGCAAUGCCGCGUGAGUGAUGAAGGCCUUAGGGUUGUAAAGCUCUUUCGGCGGGGACGAUGAUGACGGUACCCGCAGAAGAAGCCCCGGCUAACUUCGUGCCAGCAGCCGCGGUAAUACGAAGGGGGCUAGCGCUGUUCGGAAUUACUGGGCGUAAAGAGCACGUAGGCGGUUCGUUAAA